rnacentral:rRNA from 1 species
AGCGCGGCGCACAGCUCAGUAUGCGUGGCUAACCUGCCCUUGGGGCGGAAAUAACCCCGGGAAACUGGGGCUAAUUUCCGAUAGGUGAAGACUCCUGGAAUGGGUCUUCGCCGAAAGGGCGUCUAGACCAUGCUUCUAGACGCUGCCCAAGGAUGGGGCCGCGGCCGAUCAGGUUGUUGGUGAGGUAACGGCUCACCAAGCCUUUGACCGGUGCGGGCCGUGAGAGCGGGAGCCCGGAGAUGGGCACUGAGACAAGGGCCCAGGCCCUACGGGGCGCAUCAGUCGCGAAAACUCCGCAAUACACGAAAGUGUGACGGGGCCAUCCCGAGUGUCGUCCGCUGAAGACGGGUUUUCCCCAGUGUAUACAGCUGGGGGAAUAAGGAAAGGGCAAGCCUGGUGUCCGCCGCCGCGGUAAUACCAGCUCUCCCAGUGGUGGGGACGCUUAUUGGGCCUAAAGCAUCCGUAGCCGGCUGGACAAGUCCUCCAUUAAAUCCAACGAUUCAAUCGUUGGACUGCGGGGGAUACUGUCCAGCUUGGGGGCGGGAGAGGCCGACGGUAUUCCCGGGGUAGGGGUGAAAUCCUAUAAUCCCGGGAGGACCACCAGUGGCGAAAGCUGUCCGCUGGAACGCGCCCGACGGUGAUGGAUGAAAGCUGGGGGAUCGAACCGGAUUAGAUACGCGGAUAGUCUCAGUCGUUGACGAUGCAGGCUAGGUGUUAGAACGGCCACUAUCCGUUCUAGUGCCGCAGGUAAGCCGACAAGCCUGCCGCCUGGGUGAGUACGGCCGCAAGGCUGAGACUUA